rnacentral:rRNA from 1 species
GGUAGCUUGCUACCUGACCUAGCGGCGGACGGGUGAGUAAUGCUUAGGAAUCUGCCUAUUAGUGGGGGACAACAUUCCGAAAGGAAUGCUAAUACCGCAUACGCCCUACGGGGGAAAGCAGGGGAUCUUCGGACCUUGCGCUAAUAGAUGAGCCUAAGUCAGAUUAGCUAGUUGGUGGGGUAAAGGCCUACCAAGGCGACGAUCUGUAGCGGGUCUGAGAGGAUGAUCCGCCACACUGGGACUGAGACACGGCCCAGACUCCUACGGGAGGCAGCAGUGGGGAAUAUUGGACAAUGGGCGCAAGCCUGAUCCAGCCAUGCCGCGUGUGUGAAGAAGGCCUUUUGGUUGUAAAGCACUUUAAGCGAGGAGGAGGCUACUUGGAUUAAUACUCUAGGAUAGUGGACGUUACUCGCAGAAUAAGCACCGGCUAACUCUGUGCCAGCAGCCGCGGUAAUACAGAGGGUGCGAGCGUUAAUCGGAUUUACUGGGCGUAAAGCGUGCGUAGGCGGCUUUUUAAGUCGGAUGUGAAAUCCCUGAGCUUAACUUAGGAAUUGCAUUCGAUACUGGGAAGCUAGAGUAUGGGAGAGGAUGGUAGAAUUCCAGGUGUAGCGGUGAAAUGCGUAGAGAUCUGGAGGAAUACCGAUGGCGAAGGCAGCCAUCUGGCCUAAUACUGACGCUGAGGUACGAAAGCAUGGGGAGCAAACAGGAUUAGAUACCCUGGUAGUCCAUGCCGUAAACGAUGUCUACUAGCCGUUGGGGCCUUUGAGGCUUUUAGUG